AGAACUGAGUAAGAAGAAAGACUGUAUAGCUCAUAUAACCUAAAAUAUUUAUUAUCUGCCCUUUGCAGAAAAGCUUUCUGACUAGUUGUAAAUUAAAAAGAGCAUCUUCAUCAUAAUCUGAAUGAGCUGAAGUAACACAAAAUCAUCUUCACCAAUGUUCUUGAGCCAGACCUCAAGAGCAUCACCACACAUCUUUCUCCAUUCAUGGUCUGUUUUAUCUGACAUCAAACGUGCUCUCAGUCUCCACCAUUCAUGCCUACAAAGUUUGGAAUAAGGACUGGUGGCAGUGGCUUGUUCUCUGUCUUCAUUUCUUGGACCCUAUUUUUCUCUAUCUGAAUUUCUGCUUGGAUUUCCUUGCUUGACUUUUCUUUUCUUUCCUUUUUUUGAGAUGUGGUCUCACUCUGUCACCCUGGCUGAGUGUUGCAGUGCCAUCAGGGCUCACUGCAGCCUCCACCUCCCAGGCUCAAGCAAUCCUCCCACCUUAGACCCCAGAAUAGCUGGGAUUACAAAAGGGCACUACCAGGCCUGGCUGGUUGUUGAUUUUUUGUGGAGACAAGGUCUCAUCAUGUUGCCCAGGCUGGUCUCAAACUCCUAGAUGAAAGCCAUCCUCCUGACUUGGCCUCCCAAAGUGUUGGGAUUACAGGUGUGAGCCACAGCACCCAGGCUGCUUGACUUUCUCAAUUUUUCUUUUGUCUCUUCCAGGGACUUGUCAUGAUUAGCUCGAACUUUAUUUCUCAGAGGUUCUUCUUCUUCUUCUCUGUGUGUAUGUUAAUUGGGUGCAUAGAUCAGGAAGACUUCAGGGUUUUUAGCCCCUUUGCCAGCUACUACAUGAGGAAUUAACACAUCGUCUAAACCCAGAUCAAAGCGUUUGUGUUUUGAGAAGCCUAGAAGAAAAAAGAAUGCCCCCAAACACAGGGUGAUGAAGGCAUUAAAAAUAAGUGUCUUCUCAGAAAGUCUCAAGGUAGUGCUGUGAUGUGGGGAGGGCGGCCCCAGGUUCAGAGGUGGGAUCCCACGUCUGGAGAGGGCAGCAGGGCUGGGGUAGUCAUCGUUUAUGCUCUUGAAGCUUACAGCAAAUGCACGAUACAUUGAACUGUCUUCAAAAUCUUGGCAAAAAUGGGAAAACUCAAUUUUGCUCCACUUGAAGGACUGCUGCGCUUCUUCACAGGCACCUCUUUGACGCUCCUCCAAUUCCAUUCAGAAACGUGAGUGACCCCCCCCCCACCCCCUUAAACGAUCACAAGCUUAUGUCCUGCGAGAUCUCGUUUGCCCUUUGACUUUCAGGGCCCUAUCGGGUUAUCAGAAGACUCUUCAUUCCUAGGGGUAGAUCAGAGAAGUCACACUGCAAAGGAGCUGCCCCUUGGGGAGGUGCUCAAGGGUGGUCUUCUGCCCCAAAAGGGAGUCUGGCUAACUCUGAGAAUUGCAGAAGGUUCACCAUCUCUGGUCCUUCCAUUCCAGAAUCUCUUAACCUUAGUGGUGGAAAAAAUAAGGGUCUCCACCGAAAUCUCAAAACAGGGAGGAAGGUUUCCGGCCUCCCGGAGGCCAAGGCAGAGGCGCUGGGGGAAGGAGCAAGAAGGGACCAGCCGCCCGCGCUUCCCGACGCUGCCAGGCAGGCUCCCGGGACGGGCAGAGCUCCGAGGCUGCCUCCGGGCAGUCACGUCCAACGUACCUGAGCCCGGCCAGCCGCUGUCGCUGUCGCCGCCGCACUCGCCUGUCCGGACGCACCUUCCUCCUCCUCCGCGGCCCCCGAGAAGCUGGGCGCGCAGGCAAGGGAGGCGCGGCGGCCCCUGCGGCUGGUCAGUUCACCAGGUGCCUGCUCCCGAGCGAGUUGCCACCGACCCCGCCGCGCCCGGCCGAGCCCCGCGCUCCGCAGCGUGGGAAGGAGCCGAGCAGAGACCCUUGCUCCGAGAGCCCGGGGUCGGCGCCUGCUCAUUCCUCGCGCAGCCGUGGGGCAGCGGGUGGCCCCGGGCGCGCGCGAGCAGCCUCUUCUCUGGCACGCAGAGGCCGGCUCCGUGUCCUCGGCCAGCCGCCGUGGGGGCCUCCUCCGCGCUGCCUCGCGUGGUGCCCGGCUCGGCCUAGAUGCGGCUGCUGAGAGAUGGCGCCCACGCGCGGGGCUGCGGCCCAGCCUCUGCCUCCCCAGUACUGGUGGGCGCCGAACAGCUGCGGGGCGACACGCGCUGGGCGCACGCACGUAGGAGCCGGAGGGUGGGGCAGAUGGGGCGCUUCCGGAACCCUCCCCGACUCGCGAGUGGGCGGCGCCGGCGGCGGAGCGUGGGGCGCGCUCCCUGGAGUCCACAAAUGGUGUGGUAUCACCCAUCUCUUUGGCUGCUUGUGAGAAUUAAGAGAAAUGAGGCGUGUAAAGUCCCUGGAGCAUGGGAAGUCCUCCCAAGAAAGCAUUUCUUGAGCUGCUGGAAAAACAUCUCCUAAGUCUGAAAGAACUUCGAGCAGUCAGGCUUUAAAGCUCCCAACAAAGGAAUCAAGAGGGAUGGAAUGGCAUUGAGAUAACAUCCGACUGUCUGAUGAAAUGGUGCUGUCAGAGGGAAUCUGUAUUCCUGUGCAAGAACUGCUUGCCUGGAUUUCCAGGACUGGCCACAAAAAUGCUGCAUGGAGUCAACCAUUAAUCAAACAGAAAGGACUCACCUGCAUAGAAAAUAGAAUAUGGAGCUUCCUAUAGUGAAACAUAAAUCAAUUGGUCAGAGCAAUGGCAUAAAAUUGUAUUGAAUGUGCUUCAAAAUGGCAGAGAAACGUGCAAGGUUACAUACUAUCUUAAUUUCUACCUUGCUUCAUUUCCAUGAGGCAGAAGCAACACACUCUUCAGACGCAUGGAAUUUGGAAAGACUACUUUCAAGAGAUCUUUGAUAGUCCUCUGUGAGCAUACUUAUGUCUGCCUGAGAGACAUCCAUUCAAGGCUUGUUUUGCUGCCUUCUUUUUGCUGAUCUCUUUUGAUUCAGAUGGAUGAUUCAUGCUGUCUCCUCCAGGAAGUCCCUGAUCUUCUGGAUAGAAUGAAUGACUCUCCUGCCAUGUGCCCUCCCACUUUGAUUGCAUUUUUCUGGAGGCACCCUGUCCUUACACUAUUGACUGGGUACAUGUGUGUCUCUUAAAAUAAAACUCUUCUCA
rnacentral:lncRNA from 10 species